ensembl:lincRNA
AUUUCUCUUUCAUUUUGAUAGCCCCCUCUUAGGGUUCAGGUUUUGAGGUAACUCUUCUACUAGACAACAUUUUAAAGUAGUAACUAUUUUUCUCAUUGCUAUUAACCAAGCCACACAUUAAUGCCGAGCUUCUGUUAAGUAAAAAAUAACUAGGGAUACCAGACUGAGUUUUUCAGCCCAGUCAGAAGAAAAGCAAUUUGACAUACUGUUACCCUUUGCAGUCUUAGCAAGAGAAAGGCAAUGUGCUUGUUUAUUGUCUAAAUUAGCACUUUGCCCCUGAUACUUCUCAAAGCUGAAAGACCCUCUAAGAUCAAGAACUGAUGAAGGCUAUAGAAAAAUGUGCUGCUCAAAAGGAGAUUUCCAUCUCGAAAAGGCAAAUUACUGGGAAAAAUGAAUCUGUUUUCUCUACCAAGGUAACCUACUAAUUUAUGAAACACACUGGGGACUUUAAGCAGGAUAUUUGGCACCACACCUUCUAAUCACACCCACUCUUUGUUGAGUAGCUGGAUUCUGUUUUCCCAU